AAGGUCUCUGGACCCCCAAAAACCACCGCGAACCUACCAAGUUGCGUACCGCUCCGGCGGGCGGCUCCGGGGAGGAGCCGCCUAGGACCCGCCGGGCGCGGCCCCCACACAGACCCUGAACGCCCAGCGUUGUGCCCCUCCGAGUCGCAGCUGCGAGGGCAGCCGAAAAACCUACUAGCA
rnacentral:misc_RNA from 1 species